CAGGACCACUCCUGUCUGAGGGCCG
rnacentral:rRNA from 37 species